ACGACGCUGGCGGCAGGCCUAACACAUGCAAGUCGAGCGCGCCCUUCGGGGUGAGCGGCGGACGGGUUAGUAACGCGUGGGAAUAUACCCCGACACUAAGGAAUAGCCUCUGGAAACGGAGAGUAAUACCUUAUACGCCCUUCGGGGGAAAGAUUUAUCGGUGCGGAUUAGCCCGCGUUAGAUUAGAUAGUUGGUGGGUAAUGGCCUACCAAGUCUACGAUCUAUAGCUGGUUUUAGAGGAUGAUCAGCAACACUGGA
rnacentral:rRNA from 1 species